GCUGGUGGAAAUGGCUGCUUGCAACUGAUGCACGGAGAGUUGCAGUUUUUGUCGCCUUUGGUGGCGGCGAGAGAAGCAUAUUUCUUCAGGUACUGCCAACAGAACUCGGAAGAAUUAGGCAGUUGGAUAGUGGUGGACUUUCCAGUCGAUGGAUUUGUGGAAGGGGUUCAAACAUGCUUCCCUUGGUAUAGAAGGAGGACUUCAGGCUGCAUCAUUCAAGAUAUGCCCAAUGGUUAUUCAAGGGUGAUGUGGGUAGAGCAUGCAGAGGUGGAUGAUAAGCCAGUGCAUCAA